UGCAGUCGAACGAGAUCUUCGGGUCUAGUGGCGCACGGGUGCGUAACGCGUGGGAAUCUGCCCUUUGGUUCGGAAUAACAGUUGGAAACGACAGCUAAUACCGGAUGAUGACGAAAGUCCAAAGAUUUAUCGCCAGAGGAUGAGCCCGCGUAGGAUUAGCUAGUUGGUGUGGUAAAGGCGCACCAAGGCGACGAUCCUUAGCUGGUCUGAGAGGAUGAUCAGCCACACUGGGACUGAGACACGGCCCAGACUCCUACGGGAGGCAGCAGUGGGGAAUAUUGGACAAUGGGCGAAAGCCUGAUCCAGCAAUGCCGCGUGAGUGAUGAAGGCCUUAGGGUUGUAAAGCUCUUUUACCCGGGAUGAUAAUGACAGUACCGGGAGAAUAAGCUCCGGCUAACUCCGUGCCAGCAGCCGCGGUAAUACGGAGGGAGCUAGCGUUGUUCGGAAUUACUGGGCGUAAAGCGCACGUAGGCGGCUUUGUAAGUUAGAGGUGAAAGCCUGGAGCUCAACUCCAGAACUGCCUUUAAGACUGCAUCGCUUGAAUCCAGGAGAGGUGAGUGGAAUUCCGAGUGUAGAGGUGAAAUUCGUAGAUAUUCGGAAGAACACCAGUGGCGAAGACGGCUCACUGGA
rnacentral:rRNA from 1 species